rnacentral:rRNA from 1 species
UACAGAGGGGGCAAGCGUUGUUCGGAAUUACUGGGCGUAAAGGGCGCGUAGGCGGCCUGCUAAGUCGAACGUGAAAGCCCCGGGCUCAACCUGGGAAUGGCGAUGGAGACUGCAAGGCUUGAAUCUGGCAGAGGGGGGUAGAAUUCCACGUGUAGCAGUGAAAUGCGUAGAGAUGUGGAGGAACACCGAUGGCGAAGGCAGCCCCCUGGGUCAAGAUUGACGCUCAUGCACGAAAGCGUGGGGAGCAAACAGG